GCACCAAUCGCUGUCGCGCGCUAGCGCUGUCCUUCACGUGGCAAGAAGAAGAAGAAUCUCGUAGGCUGACGUGGAUGCACGAAAUCCUCAUUUGUAUCUUGCCAGCAUGGCACUGAACAGCGCGAGGCUGCGGACAUCGCCAUCAAGCGCACCCUCGUCGCCGGCUCUCUCGUAGUCCUCGUCAUUGCGGGGCUAUUCUCCUACAUAAUUCUCAGCACACUCUCGUCGCACACGCGACCUCAUCAUAGUGGGACCGAAAAGGAUGACGACAGCACGCGGGCGGGGCAGUACGUUCCAACACCGCCGCCUCCUUCUCAUCCGACAGCUCCCACGCAUCCGAGACCUCCGA
rnacentral:lncRNA from 1 species